GUCAUUAAAUUUUACAAUAAAGAAGUAUGUGCAGGAUUUAAUUUCACAACUAAAGAGGACUGCGAAGAAGAAUUAAAGUUCUGGUGGAUCAAAGAUCGAGGAAUGAUUUGGUUUUAACUGGUUUGC
rnacentral:lncRNA from 1 species